CGGCUGGAUCAGGCCAAGGGGACGCCCAUGUAGGCAUGUAACACCUGGCUGCGGCAGAUGGAUGGCCAUUUCCGGAGGGUGGCACUGGACCGUGUGUCUGCCUGGGGGGUCGCCAGGAGUUUCGCCGUGUGGUGGGUUCGGCGACGCGCUAAAUCAGCUUAUGCUCCCCAACUUGACCUGAGCUGACCUGGCCCUGACGACAGUCAUUCAAGCCUGAAAUGCUGAUACCUAGGCACAAAACACAUGAAGCAUAUAACGGGUUUCAAAAUACACUGCUUAAAAUCUUAAACAAUGAUUUAGCAGUCCCAUACGCUUCGUUUGCUUAUCUAAGCUGGUCUUACAUACGUUUCUUUACGUUUUACAGAGACCUUAUUUUCAGAGCGACUAAUAUGCAUGUUCUCCCCUCAUCCCGGUGUGUGCAAGCAUGUCUUCUCACGUACAGAGGAUGGUGAUCUCAGCAGAACUUCCAGCUUUCUUAUCAAGAGGAAUCGGCCAACGUACUGUGCUGUGAGCCGCUUUCGGCAGCUUUUCGUCCUUCUCUAAAUCGGAUAAUUUCCUUGCCAAUCCUGUUAUUAAACGUGCUAUUUUUCAUUAUGAUUGAUUUUUGUUCAUAUAGUACUCCGUAAUUUGUACAAAAGAAAAAGAAAGACAUGUAUAACGUGACACAUGUAAAGAAUUGCGUCGCAUUGAGCAACAAUACGGAAAAAUGCAGUUUAAAUUACCCACAAGGUGGCGCUUAUUGCGCCCAUAUCGCUCAUAUCAUCCUCGGCCCACGCACACCACUAUUUACAGCGCGUAACAUCAAACGCUAUAUGUGACAUUACAACACAAUGACACCACAAUAGACGACGGCUGCACAAAGCUAUUGACAUUAAUUGCUGGACUAUCCGCGGCCCAGCCCGUCGCGCUCCCGCAGGGUCCUGCCCCUGUUACAGUUUUUCAAAGGAAGGAAGCAGUUGAGCUCUACUUAUGCUUCGUCUGUGUUUUGUCACAAGGAACAUAACAACCUGAAGUCCAGGAACUCCUUUAGUUUUAAUGGAACAAACUGUUGCUUAAUUAUAAUAUAAAUAAACUUUUAAAUAAAGGUUAAUGUGUUUGUUCUGAGCCAGUAUCCCGCACACAUGGCUCAGGAAUGACUUUCAGGUCAGCGCAAGCCUGUCAUUAUAUAAGAAGAUCUGGCAUGCCAUCCAGAGCAGUCAGCGACACAUCUGCAAGAACUGCUACCGGAAAGACUAGUGCAUGUUCACCAGGGCAGCUCUAGCAGGACAGCAAUGUGGGAGAACCGACUUGAUGGAGCAGUGUCCAGUGGUGUCCAGUGGUGUCCAGUGACAAUGCCCAGCUGACGAGCCUCUUCUGUAUGACCCAUUCUGGCAGGGAUGCCAACUUUGGGCGUUUCAGCACUAAGAUGGCGGUUUGCUGUGGGUGUUUCCGGGCGGCCUUGUGCUGUGCCAGUGCCGUUUUGAGAAGCCUGCGAUGGUGAAGCAGAAGCGCAGCAGAGCUGCCAAAAGGGCAUGAGCUGCAUGCGAAUGAUGAUGCAAGAAAGUCCCGUUAGAGCUUCACCCUCUGCUGCAUGCGGUGGCCCUUCUCUGUCAAUAAACACGACAAAGCCUGCUCCAGGCAGUGCGGGUAAUUAUAGGAAAAGUCAAUGAUUUACUGUCGGUAUGGGUUUUCAACUAGGUUAAAGCCCUGUACUUCAAAUCCAAUUUUGGAUUUUAAAAUAUUUAACCAGUGGCCGGAUAAUGAACUUCUCGUGAAUGUGAAUGAAUUUCAGUUUGAGCUCUUGGAAGUUCAAAUUUGACAUGACUAAUUAACGCGAUAUAUCAGUUCUAGUGUUUACUGUUGGUGUAACACUAAUGAUGGGUUUCCCUCUUUGUUAACAUCAUAGUGAAGUCUGAGAGAGUCUGUGGCUCGUUUCUGCAUUUCUUAACAUCCUGAUUAAGAGAAUAAAUUCAUUGCCCUUGAAAUAAUGGCAGCUUGUGGCACGGUUGCGGUGAACUGCAGCUGUGUUCUGCGAUGUAGGACAAUGGGAUUGAUUUCUAGAAAUAUCUCACUGACGUCCCAUCAGCUCAGGCCUCUGAGGCAUCAUUGCGUUGGUACAUGUGCAGUGGCUUGUUUGUUUCAAAGUCCCCGGUGUGAAAGCCAGGGAUUUAAUGUGACUUCCUUCAAACAUAGAAAUAUCAAAUGCCACACAGAGUGCAUUGAGAAUUAGUGCGCCUACGCUUUGAAGGAACCACAUAGGAUGUGCAUCAUUCAACUAGCAUUCACCUUAUGGGUGGUGUCCACGUUUCCUAAAUGUGGGGGCACCUUUGAACUGCAGGAUACCAUCCAUGCUCUAAUUGAAGAGAACAUGCAUCUACACGACCAGCUGGAGAACUUAACACAAGCUCUCCAGAAGUUUAAACAGCUGCUGUGGAAUCACUCUGAAGAUACCAGGAAUGAGCAUGACCCUGAUUUACAGCGUCUGAGGAACGAAUGGAUGCAGCACGGUAUAGGUGCAGAGACUCAUCGCCUGUUGGAGCAUGUCUUCUGUGAGCAUGAUCUCCACACUGCAGCCAGCUCAUCACGGGCACAUUCUGUCCUCCUCCUGAUUGCGUUAAUGUAUUUAAGCUUUCUUUUGUUCUAAUACCAUUCGUAUUGGCUUCUCAUUGGUGUUCUGCAACGACCAACACAACCUGUAAAAUGAACAGGCCGUGACAUUUAAAAUAAAUGACAUCGCUGUUGUAUUAUUAA